rnacentral:rRNA from 1 species
UACGUAGGGGGCAAGCGUUGUCCGGAUUUAUUGGGCGUAAAGAGCGUGUAGGCGGCCAUGUAGGUCCGUUGUGAAAACUCGAGGCUCAACCUCGAGACGCCGAUGGAAACCAUGUGGCUAGAGUCCGGAAGAGGAGAGUGGAAUUCCUGGUGUAGCGGUGAAAUGCGCAGAUAUCAGGAAGAACACCCGUGGCGAAGGCGGUUCUCUGGGACGGUACUGACGCUGAGACGCGAAAGCGUGGGGAUCAAACAGG